GAUGAACGCUGGCGGCGUGCCUAAUACAUGCAAGUCGAGCGAACAGACGAGGAGCUUGCUCCUCUGAUGUUAGCGGCGGACGGGUGAGUAACACGUGGAUAACCUACCUAUAAGACUGGGAUAACUUCGGGAAACCGGAGCUAAUACCGGAUAACAUGUUGAACCGCAUGGUUCAACAGUGAAAGACGGUCUUGCUGUCACUUAUAGAUGGAUCCGCGCCGCAUUAGCUAGUUGGUAAGGUAACGGCUUACCAAGGCAACGAUGCGUAGCCGACCUGAGAGGGUGAUCGGCCACACGGGAACUGAGACACGGUCCAGACACCUACGGGAGGCAGCAGUAGGGAAUCUUCCGCAAUGGGCGAAAGCCUGACGGAGCAACGCCGCGUGAGUGAAGAAGGUCUUCGGAUCGUAAAACUCUGUUAUUAGGGAAGAACAAAUGUGUAAGUAACUAUGCACGUCUUGACGGUACCUAAUCAGAAAGCCACGGCUAACUACGUG
rnacentral:rRNA from 1 species